rnacentral:sRNA from 1 species
GGUGGGUGUGGUGGUGCACACCUGCAAUUCCAGUAACUUGGGAGGCUGAGUCAGGAGGAUCGCAGAUUUGAGGCCAGCCUCAGCAACUUAGUGAGACCCUGUCUCAA